UGCUGUGAAAACUGGAGGCUCAACCUCCAGCCUGCAGUGGGUACGGGCAGACUAGAGUGCGGUAGGGGAGAUUGGAAUUCCUGGUGUAGCGGUGGAAUGCGCAGAUAUCAGGAGGAACACCGAUGGCGAAGGCAGAUCUCUGGGCCGUAACUGACGCUGAGGAGCGAAAGCAUGGGGAGCGAACAGGAUUAGAUACCCUGGUAGUCCAUGCCGUAAACGUUGGGAACUAGAUGUAGGGACCAUUCCACGGUUUCUGUGUCGCAGCUAACGCAUUAAGUUCCCCGCCUGGGGAGUACGGCCGCAAGGCUAAAACUCAAAGGAAUUGACGGGGGCCCGCACAAGCGGCGGAGCAUGCGGAUUAAUUCGAUGCAACGCGAAGAACCUUACCAAGGCUUGACAUAUACCGGAAAAGUUCAGAAAUGUUCUCCCCGCAAGGUCGGUAUACAGGUGGUGCAUGGUUGUCGUCAGCUCGUGUCGUGAGAUGUUGGGUUAAGUCCCGCAACGAGCGCAACCCUCGUUCUAUGUUGCCAGCACGUAAUGGUGGGAACUCAUAGGAGACUGCCGGGGUCAACUCGGAGGAAGGUGGGGAUGACGUCAAAUCAUCAUGCCCCUUAUGUCUUGGGCUUCACGCAUGCUACAAUGGCCGAUACAAAGGGCUGCAAUACCGCAAGGUGGAGCGAAUCCCAAAAAGUCGGUCUCAGUUCGGAUUGAGGUCUGCAACUCGACCUCAUGAAGUCGGAGUCGCUAGUAAUCGCAGAUCAGCAACGCUGCGGUGAAUACGUUCCCGGGCCUUGUACACACCGCCCGUCAAGUCAUGAAAGUCGGUAACACCCGAAGCCAGUGGCCCAACCGCAAGGAGGGAGC
rnacentral:rRNA from 1 species